rnacentral:ncRNA from 1 species
AUUCGUCUUGCCUGCCGACAUUUAAAUGCAGGCCCGCCCUGUGCGCGGAGAGGCCGCGGAUUUAGAAGCCAAAUCGAUUUAUGGGGCGGAGAAAGGAAC